CCUGAACACUGACUUCCUGAACACUGACUUCCUGAACACUGACUUCCUCUGUGUUCUUUGAACGCCGCUGAAAACUGUCCGUCUUGAUCGCAGUUUUGUGGCCACGCCCCCUGCAGCGGCCGCCUGCUCUCGUCUGGAUUCCAGGCGAGGCACAGCUCUAACCAACGAGCCUAAUAUCUCUUCCAGGUCCAACCUCCUGCCCAGGUCCCCCAACCAACCAGUAAGACCCAAUAGUGACAAAGGAACAUCCUCACCUUGAUGGGUGAAGAUGAAGAGCUGGAGAGAGUGAUGCUGAGUAUCUCUCAUUCCAAACAUGUGCAGAGCUCUGUUUUAGCAUCAUCCUCAUCCUCAGCCAAACAGCGACAGCCUUUGAGAAGAGAAAGAGGUCUUUAACCCAAAGCACCGUCGACCGACACAACUGGGACCAUGAAUUCUUAUCCCACAUGAAGCAUGACUUGUAUCAUCCCGUCUCAUGUUGACCACGUUCUGGUCAUGUUUGUCUUUUGGUGUUCUACUUAUUGUCCUCGUGACUAUGAAUUGAUUCCAGUCACGAUGAGGGUACGUAUCAGUCUUUAUUUUCUUAUAUGGAUGAAAAGAAAAAAUAUACAUGUGAAACUGCUGUGUUACUAACACCUGAUUGCAUGUGUUUGAAGUGUGUCAUGUUGCUUCCCCUGCCUAGGUUAAAUCAUAAUGACAGGCUAGUUUGUGUAUUGUCAAAAUAUAAAUAACAAACAAGGGUUUUUCUGUUGCAGUACCAUCUGCUACACUGGAUGCAUCAGCCAAGGCUAAGGGUUCACAAGUAUAUGGUAAAUGUAUCAACAUUCUGUAUAUUCAUUGAAACUUUAUCUGUCAUAUUCACUUUACUUAUAUUAAACCAUGAAUUGAUUCUUGUUUUGUGAUCCUUCUCUCCUUGCAGCCCCUGCAUUACCAUCCGUAAAGAGACCUGUGCUCGUUCCCCAGGAGCUCAUGUGUCUGAUGCCAGAAGGAGCAGGUCAUCUGUCAACAGAGGCGACUGCCACAGUUCCUGGUGUGUAGUAUUUUACCUGUAUUUGCAUCCUACAAAUAUCCUUAUGUAGUGUACAUCA